AUGGGAGAGGACAGAGACCCCAGCGGAGGGAGCUUCAGUUGGACAGACUCUUCUGGAAGGAUCGCAGCAAUGGCCGCCCAGGAGAGCGGCAGGUCCAGUUCAAGCUCAUCCUGGUGGGAAACGGAGGCACUGGGAAGACUACGUUCGUGAAGCGCCAUCUGACGGGCGAGUUUGAGAAGCAGUAUAUAGCCACCCUGGGAGUGGAGGUGCACCCACUCACCUUCCAUACCAACAGAGGACCAAUCAAAUUCAACGUGUGGGACACAGCCGGCCAGGAGAAGUUCGGGGGUGGGGGGGGGGCUGCGCGAUGGCUACUACAUCCAAGCCCAAUGUGCUAUUAUAAUGUUUGACGUAACAUCCAGAGUUUCUUACAAGAACGUACCUAACUGGCAUAAAGAUCUGGUACGCGUGUGUGAAAAUAUCCCCGUUGUAUUGUGUGGCAACAAAGUGGAUAUUAAAGACAGGGAAGUGAAGGCAAAAUCUAUUGUCUUCCACCGAAAGAAGAAUCUUCGGUACUAUGAUAUUUCUACCAAAAGUAACCACAACAUUGAGAAGCCUUUCCUCUGGCUCGCCAGAAAGCUCAUUGGAGAUGCUAACUUGGAGUUCGUUGCCAUGCCAGCUCUUGCUCCACCUGAGGUGGUCAUGGACCCAGCUUUGGCAGCACAGUACGAGCAUGAUUUAGAGGUUGCUCAGAUGACUGCUCUCCCGGAUGAGGAUGGUGACCUGUGAGAAAGUGAAGCUGGAGCCCUGCUUUCAGAAGUCUAGUUUUAUAGGCAACUGUCUUGUGACGUCAGCGAUGC